rnacentral:snoRNA from 1 species
AAGACUGUACUUCACAGGAUCAUUUCUGUAGUGCGUCUUCACUUCUCUCUACUCAACGGUAGAGUCAAUGAAACUGCGAUGAUGAGUGAUCGUCCUUGCCCCUGAGCGUGAGGAAGUCUGGUCUCUGUGCGAGCAAUUUGCUUCACUUGAUCCGGCAUCGAUGAUCGUUCGCCCAAUGGCCCCUGUGCAGGGCGUGGGUCAAGGGGUGGGGUCAUUCUGAGCAGU